CACUUGCAAGUCGUACGAAAGUGUUAAACUCUAGUGGGCGGACGGGUGAGUAACACGUUGAGAAUUACCUUUAGGAGGGGAAAACAGUUGGAAACGACUCGCUAAUGCCGCAUAUCAUAACUAUGAAAGAAGAAAUUCGCCUAAAGAAAAGCUUGCGUCUGAUUAGCUAGUUGGUAAGGGUAAAGGCCUACCAAGGCGACGAUCAGUAGCUGGUUUGAGAGGACGACCAGUUACACUGGAACUGAGACACGGUCCAGACUCCUACGGGAGGCAGCAGUGGGGAAUUUUCUGCAAUGGGCGAAAGCCUGACAGAGCAAUACCGCGUGAGGGAAGAAAGCCCACAGGGUUGUAAACCUCUUUUGUCAAGGAAGAAGUUCUGACGUUACUUGACGAAUAAGCAUCGGCUAACUCCGUGCCAGCAGCCGCGGUAAGACGGGGGAUGCAAGUGUUAUCCGGAAUCACUGGGCGUAAAGCGUUUGUAGGUGGUUUAGUAAGUCUAUUGUUAAAGCUUGAAGCUCAACUUCAAAAAUGUAAUAGAAACUACUAGACUUGAGGAUAGUAGGGGUAAAGGGAAUUUCCAGUGGAGCGGUGAAAUGCGUAGAGAUUGGAAGGACCACCGAUGGCGAAGGCACUUUACUGGGCUAUUUCUGACACUAAGAGACGAAAGCUAGGGUAGCGAAUGGGAUUAGAUACCCCAGUAGUC
rnacentral:rRNA from 1 species